UGGAACUAUAGGAGUGCACCACCAUGCCUGGCUAAUUUUUGUAUUUUUUAAUAGAGACGGGGUUUCACCAUGUUGACCAGGAUGGUCUCGAUCUCUUGACCU